CCCUUAGAUGUCCUGGGCCGCACGCGCGCUACACUGAACGGAUCAGCGCGUUUUCCCUUCCCGAGAGGGACGGGUAACCUGCUGAACCCCGUUCGUGGUAGGGAUCGGGGCUUGCAAUUAUUCCCCGUGAACCAGGAAUGCCCAGUAAGUGCAAGUCAUAAGCUUGCGUUGAUUACGUCCCUGCCCUUUGUACACACCGCCCGUCGCUACUACCGAUUGAAUGGUCCGGUGAAAUCUCGGGACGGCGGCUUGGUCGCUUGCGUCCGACUGCUGAAACUUGAUUAAACCAUAUCAUUUAGAGGAAGGUGAAGUCGUANCA
rnacentral:rRNA from 1 species